rnacentral:lncRNA from 1 species
UGUUUAAUAGCUGAUAACAUAUAUAUAUAAUGCUCAUUCAUACAGUUUGCAACUUACAAUUAUUAUUAUUAUUACAACCAAACUUAAUAAUAACAAUACACAUCAGAAUGCAAAUGCAGGUGUAGCUGCCUAAAACCAUGGCAACAAGGUAUCAAAAUCUUUGAAAGAAGGCAUGGAAUUAUUAAUAGUUUGAGGUUGUAUGUUUGUAGUAGGAGCAGCAAUAAGAGGUGGUUGUUUGUGAAGUUGAUUUGGUUGACUUGCCGAUCCAAUCCAAUCCGUUGAUGAGUUCUUGCCAGUGAGGCUCUGAACAACAUCCCUGAAGUUCACGGCAUCCGUCUCCACAUACCGUGUCUCAAUUUGCACUAUCUUUGGAGCUUCACCACUCCUCAUCCUCUAUCUUCU